rnacentral:rRNA from 1 species
GAUGAACGCUGGCGGCGUGCCUAAUACAUGCAAGUCGAGCGAAGCGGGGACGGGUGAGUAACACGUGGAUAACCUCCUAUAAGACUGGGAUAAAUUCGGGAAACCGGAGCUAAACCGGAAACUUAUAGAUGGAUCCGCGCUGCAUUAGCUAGUUGGUAAGGUAACGGCUUAACAAGGCAACGAUGCAUAGCCGACCUGAGAGGGUGAAAGGCCACACGGGAACGGAGCCACGGUCAAGAAGCCUACGGGAGGCAGCAGAAGGGAAUCUUCCGCGAUGGGCGAAAGCCUGACGGAGCCACGCCGCGUGAGUGAUGAAGGUCUUCGGAUCGUAAAACUCUGGUAUUAGGGAAGCGGUACCUAAUCAGAAGGACACGGCUAACUACGUGCCAGCAGCCGCGGUAAUUC